rnacentral:rRNA from 2 species
ACCACGACUCUCGGCAACGGAUAUCUCGGCUCUCGCAUCGAUGAAGAACGUAGCGAAAUGCGAUACCUGGUGUGAAUUGCAGAAUCCCGCGAACCAUCGAGUCUUUGAACGCAAGUUGCGCCCGAGGCCCCCGGGCCGAGGGCACGCCUGCCUGGGCGUCACGC